AAUGCUCAACCCACACAAGUUGUGUUUAAACGUCUUGAGUGGCUUGGAUUUGGGAUUGUUGCUGGCUUUGUCAAGUCGGCUAUCCUGAAAUAUAUUAGCAAGGCUUUCAUUUGCUAGCCUAUUGGUGUGAUAUGCAUCUACGCCAUUGGAAAAUGAAGUCUAGCUUCUAACGGUCCUGUGGACAACUUAUUUGACA
rnacentral:misc_RNA from 1 species